UUCGGCGCCACCACCCUGCGGGU
rnacentral:miRNA from 1 species